rnacentral:rRNA from 1 species
GUAGGUGGCAAGCGUUGUCCGGAUUUAUUGGGCGUAAAGCGAGUGCAGGCGGUUCAAUAAGUCUGAUGUGAAAGCCUUCGGCUCAACCGGAGAAUCGCAUCAGAAACUGUUGAACUUGAGUGCAGAAGAGGAGAGUGGAACUCCAUGUGUAGCGGUGGAAUGCGUAGAUAUAUGGAAGAACACCAGUGGCGAAGGCGGCUCUCUGGUCUGCAACUGACGCUGAGGCUCGAAAGCAUGGGUAGCGAACAGGAUUAGAUACCCUGGUAGUCCAUGCCGUAAACGAUGAGUGCUAAGUGGUUGGGAGGUUUCCGCCUCUCAGUGCUGCAGCUAACGCAUUAAGCACUCCACCUGGGGGAGUACGACCGCAAGGUUG